rnacentral:rRNA from 1 species
AGUGAACGCUGGCGGUAGGCCUAACACAUGCAAGUCGAACGGCAGCACAGUAAGAGCUUGCUCUUACGGGUGGCGAGUGGCGGACGGGUGAGGAAUACAUCGGAAUCUACUUUUUCGUGGGGGAUAACGUAGGGAAACUUACGCUAAUACCGCAUACGACCUACGGGUGAAAGCAGGGGAUCUUUGGACCUUGCGCGAUUGAAUGAGCCGAUGUCGGAUUAGCUAGUUGGCGGGGUAAAGGCCCACCAAGGCGGCGAUCCGUAGCUGGUCUGAGAGGAUGAUCGGCCACACUGGAACUGAGACACGGUCCUGACUCCUACGGGAGGCAGCAGUGGGGAAUAUUGGACAAUGGGCGCAAGCCUGAUCCAGCCAUACCGCGUGGGUGAAGAAGGCCUUCGGGUUGUAAAGCCCUUUUGUUGGGAAAGAAAAGCAGCAGGUUAAUACCCCGCUGUUCUGACGGUACCCAAAGAAUAAGCACCGGCUAACUUCGUG